rnacentral:rRNA from 1 species
CAGUCGCCACGGGAAUACGAAGGGUGCAAGCGUUAAUCGGAAUUACUGGGCGUAAAGCGCGCGUAGGUGGUUUGGUAAGAUGGAUGUGAAAUCCCCGGGCUCAACCUGGGAACUGCAUCCAUAACUGCCUGACUAGAGUACGGUAGAGGGUGGUGGAAUUUCCUGUGUAGCGGUGAAAUGCGUAGAUAUAGGAAGGAACACCAGUGGCGAAGGCGACCACCUGGACUGAUACUGACACUGAGGUGCGAAAGCGUGGGGAGCAAACAGGAUUAGAUACCCGAGUAGUCCCUGUCUCUUAUAC